UGUAACUGUGUCUGGUAUCUUUCCAUCACACAAAGGCUUGAACACAAUAUCUGCAUCUGCUACAGCUCUGGGCUCACCAUUUACCUUCUCCUGCCAGGUGUCUUCAGUUUACAAAUAUCUGAUUGGACAGACGGGAAAUGCAGUGGUACGCCUCCAGCAGACGCGUUUGGUGUCAUGUCUCUCUGGAGCAAACUGUCAGUCUUUAAGAACCCCGGAGUUCAAACCACACACUCCAUCACCUCAGGACCCUGAGACGGGGCCGCACGAGGAGGAGGGGAGCCGGACUGAAAGCACAAGCACAGGCCAAGAAGGAGCUCGCACAGAGAGCAUGGGAGAGACUGAGAGCAGACUGCUCCAUUAGCACCGCUGAUGGACGAACACACACCGCACUUGACAUACAGCUAGAGGGAAAUAUUUACAUUGUGCAUUUUUAAACAAACAUACGUAAUAACGGCUUUAAAUCAAGUGUACGAUAAAUUACGCUGAUAAAAAAUAGUGUUCAUCUGCAGCUGUAAUUAUGACUAGCAUUGAGAAGUCCAAUAUAUGUGCAUCACAAGAAAAAGAGAAAAAAAUAUCAAUAAUAAAAUUAUUGCAUAUUAUAAUUGUAUAAAAUUUGCAAAAAUACAUGUAAUAAUGUGUGAUUUAACAAAAGAGUUUUUAAUCCGCACUCACACUGAAUAAAAGUGGCACUUGUCCAAAACAGAAAA